GCUACCCCGGCCUAAUCUGGCAAGGGGAGGAGGAGAUAUAAUGAAAUACCUUUUUGAUUUUGUUUUUGCAAUCAAGCCAUUUGCAGAGGUAACUGCACACUACAUCUGCAAGUGGCUUGAUUGCAAAAUUGCCAAAAAAGACAGUAAGCCUACCAGUUAAUUCUAUAAUAUAGAAACGUAAAAAAAACCCCAUCAGCCUACACGCUGAUGGGGUUUGAUGAUAUAAU
rfam:Enterococcus faecium DO plasmid 3, complete sequence.